GACGAACGCUGGCGGCGUGCUUAACACAUGCAAGUCUAGCGGAAAGGCCACUUCGGUGGUACUCGAGCGGCGAACGGGUGAGUAACACGUGAGUAAUCUGCCCCUCACUUUGGGAUAGCCACCGGAAACGGUGAUUAAUACCGGAUAUGACCAUAUGUCGCAUGGCGUGUGGUGGAAAGUUUUUCGGUGAGGGAUGUGCUCGCGGCCUAUCAGCUUGAUGGUGAGGUAAUGGCUCACCAUGGCUUCGACGGGUAGCCGGCCUGAGAGGGUGACCGGUCACACUGGGACUGAGACACGGCCCAGACUCCUACGGGAGGCAGCAGUGGGGAAUAUUGGACAAUGGGCGGAAGCCUGAUCCAGCAACGCCGCGUGAGGGAUGACGGCCUUCGGGUUGUAAACCUCUUUCAGUACCGACGAAGCGCAAGUGACGGUAGGUACAGAAGAAGCACCGGCCAACUACGUG
rnacentral:rRNA from 1 species